GACUAAUCGAACCAUCUA
rnacentral:ncRNA from 2 species